CAUGUCCUUUUGAGUAUAAUUUAAGGUCUAAUCUGCUCAAUGAAGUUUAAAUAGCCGCAGUAUUUUGACUGUGCAAAGGUAGCAUAAUAAUUAGUUUCUUGAUUAGAGGCUGGUAUGAAUGAUUGGACAAGAAAAUUUCUGUCUCUUUUUCAUAUUUAUUGAAUUUUAUUUUUAAGUGAAAAAGCUUAAAUUUAUAUAAAAGACGAGAAGACCCUAUAGAGUUUAAUAUUUUUUUAUGAAUUUAAUAUUAGAAAAUAAUUUUAUAAAGAUUUAUUUGGUUGGGGUGAUUUGGAGAUUUAAUUAAUUCUUUAAAGUAUAAAUUGGAGAUUUCUAAAUUUUUUAUCUAUAUUUUGUAAAAAUAAAAUAAAUUACCUUAGGGAUAACAGCGUAAUUUUUCUUUAUAGUUCUUAUUGAAAGAAAAGUUUGCGACCUCGAUGUUGGAUUAAAAUUAAUUUUUGGUGCAGUAGCUUAAAAAUUAGGUCUGUUCGACCUUUAAAAUUUUACAUGAUCUGAGUUUAAACCGGUGUAAACCAGGUUGGAUUCUAUCUUUAGAAAUAUUAUAUAUUUUAGUACGAAAGGACAGAGUAUGUAUUAUAUUAAUU
rnacentral:rRNA from 1 species